rnacentral:rRNA from 1 species
CAGCAGCCGCGGUAAUACGAAGGGUGCAAGCGUUAAUCGGAAUUACUGGGCGUAAAGCGUGCGUAGGCGGUGAGUUAAGUCUGCUGUGAAAUCCCCGGGCUCAACCUGGGAAUGGCAGUGGAUACUGGGUCACUAGAGUGUGGUAGAGGAUGGUGGAAUUCCCGGUGUAGCGGUGAAAUGCGUAGAGAUCGGGAGGAACAUCAGUGGCGAAGGCGGCCAUCUGGGACAACACUGACGCUGAGGCACGAAAGCGUGUGGAGCAAACAGGAUUAGAUACCCCCGUAGUCCCUGUCUCUUAUAC